UACGUAGGGAGCAAGCGUUGUCCGGAAUCAUUGGGCGUAAAGCGCGCGUAGGUGGCUUCGUAAGUCCGUUGUGAAAGUCAAAGGCUCAACCUUUGAAAGCCGAUGGAUACUGCGGAGCUAGAGUACGGAAGAGGCGAGUGGAAUUCCUGGUGUAGCGGUGGAAUGCGCAGAUAUCAGGAGGAACACCAAUAGCGAAGGCAACUCGCUGGGACGUUACUGACACUGAGGCGCGAAAGCGUGGGGAGCGAACAGG
rnacentral:rRNA from 1 species